AGGGAUGUGGCUCGGGGUAGAGCAUCUGCCUUGCAUGCAGAAGGUCCCAGGUUCAAUCCCAGACAUCUCCA